AAUGGGUUGACUAGGUUUGGGUAAAAUCCGAAUGCUUAACUUUAGGUUCGGACCAAGACGGAUAGCUAUGCAUCCGACCCAAAUCCAAUUCGAACUAUUUUAAUAUUUCAAUAUAUAUAUAUAUUAAAUAUAUUUUUCUAAUUGUACUUAUUAGUUACUAAAUCCUAACUUAUUUAUUCAUUCCUCUCUUUCUCUCCUUAUUCCCU
rnacentral:lncRNA from 1 species